rnacentral:rRNA from 1 species
UUCGCCCUUAGAGUUUGAUCCUGGCUCAGGACGAACGCUGGCGGCGCGCCUAACACAUGCAAGUCGAACGAGCGAGAGAGAGCUUGCUUUCUCGAGCGAGUGGCGAACGGGUGAGUAACGCGUGAGGAACCUGCCUCAAAGAGGGGGACAACAGUUGGAAACGACUGCUAAUACCGCAUAAGUCCACAGCUCGGCAUCGAGCAGAGGGGAAAGGAGCAAUCCGCUUUGAGAUGGCCUCGCGUCCGAUUAGCUAGUUGGUGAGGUAACGGCCCACCAAGGCGACGAUCGGUAGCCGGACUGAGAGGUUGAACGGCCACAUUGGGACUGAGACACGGCCCAGACUCCUACGGGAGGCAGCAGUGGGGAAUAUUGCACAAUGGGGGAAACCCUGAUGCAGCGACGCCGCGUGGAGGAAGAAGGUCUUCGGAUUGUAAACUCCUGUUGUUGGGGAAGAUAAUGACGGUACCCAACAAGGAAGUGACGGCUAACUACGUGCCAGCAGCCGCGGUAAAACGUAGGUCACAAGCGUUGUCCGGAAUUACUGGGUGUAAAGGGAGCGCAGGCGGGAAGACAAGUUGGAAGUGAAAUCUAUGGGCUCAACCCAUAAACUGCUUUCAAAACUGUUUUUCUUGAGUAGUGCAGAGGUAGGCGGAAUUCCCGGUGUAGCGGUGGAAUGCGUAGAUAUCGGGAGGAACACCAGUGGCGAAGGCGGCCUACUGGGCACCAACUGACGCUGAGGCUCGAAAGUGUGGGUAGCAAACAGGAUUAGAUACCCUGGUAGUCCACACCGUAAACGAUGAUUACUAGGUGUUGGAGGAUUGACCCCUUCAGUGCCGCAGUUAACACAAUAAGUAAUCCACCUGGGGAGUACGACCGCAAGGUUGAAACUCAAAGGAAUUGACGGGGGCCCGCACAAGCAGUGGAGUAUGUGGUUUAAUUCGACGCAACGCGAAGAACCUUACCAAGUCUUGACAUCCCUUGACAGGCAUAGAAAUAUGUUUUCUCUUCGGAGCAAGGAGACAGGUGGUGCAUGGUUGUCGUCAGCUCGUGUCGUGAGAUGUUGGGUUAAGUCCCGCAACGAGCGCAACCCUUAUGGUCAGUUACUACGCAAGAGGACUCUGGCCAGACUGCCGUUGACAAAACGGAGGAAGGUGGGGAUGACGUCAAAUCAUCAUGCCCUUUAUGACUUGGGCUACACACGUACUACAAUGGCGUUAAACAAAGAGAAGCAAGACCGCGAGGUGGAGCAAAACUCAGAAACAACGUCCCAGUUCGGACUGCAGGCUGCAACUCGCCUGCACGAAGUCGGAAUUGCUAGUAAUCGUGGAUCAGCAUGCCACGGUGAAUACGUUCCCGGGCCUUGCACUCACCGCCCGUCA